rnacentral:rRNA from 1 species
UACGUAGGGUGCGGGCGUUAAUCGGAAUUACUGGGCGUAAAGCGUGUGCAGGCGGCUUUGCAAGACAGAUGUGAAAUCCCCGGGCUCAACCUGGGAACUGCAUUUGUGACUGCAAGGCUAGAGUACGGCAGAGGGGGAUGGAAUUCCGCGUGUAGCAGUGAAAUGCGUAGAUAUGCGGAGGAACACCAAUGGCGAAGGCAAUCCCCUGGGCCUGUACUGACGCUCAUGCACGAAAGCGUGGGGAGCGAACAGG